rnacentral:rRNA from 1 species
AGGCGUUUAAGUAAGUAGGGUGAUGUGCAGGCAAAUCCACACAUCGAGAGCCUGAGAUACGAAUACGAGUGAAAAUUAGUAGCGAAGUCCCCGAUUCCCGGCUGCCAAGAAAAGCUGCUAACGAGACCGAAGGUGCCCGUACCGCAAACCGACACAGGUAGAUGGGGUGAGAAACCUAAGGCGCGCGAGAAAACUCUUGUUAAGGAACUCGGCAAAAUGAACCCGUAACUUCGGGAGAAGGGUUGCUCAUUAGUGUGAGUAUCUACGCGAUACAGAGCACAGAUGAGUCGCAGAGAAAAGGUCCAGGCGACUGUUUAGCAAAAACACAGGUCAUUGCAAAACCGCAAGGUGAAGUAUAAUGGCUGACGCCUGCCCGGUGCUGGAAGGUUAAGGGGAAGAGUGAGAGCUUUGAACCGAAGCCCCAGUAAACGGCGGCCGUAACGAUAACGGUCCUAAGGUAGCGAAAUUCCUUGUCGGGUAAGUUCCGACCCGCACGAAAGGCGUAACGAUCUGGAUACUGUCUCAACAAGGGACUCGGCGAAAUUGAAAUACCGGUAAAGAUGCCGGUUACCUGCGAUAGGACAGAAAGACCCCAUGGAGCUUUACUGUAGCCUGAUAUUGGGUUUUGGUUAUUAAUGUACAGAAUAGGUGGGAGACUGGGAAGCAUGCACGCCAGUGUGUGUGGAGUCGACGUUGGGAUACCACUCUUUGAUGACUGAAAUUCUAACAUAGCAUCCUGAAUCGGGUGUGUGGACAGUGUCAGGCGGGCAGUUUGACUGGGGCGGUCGCCUCCUAAAAGGUAACGGAGGCGCUCAAAGGUUCCCUCAGAGCGGAUGGAAAUCGCUCGAAGAGUGUAAAGGCAGAAGGGAGCUUGAUUGCGAGACCAACAAGUCGAGCAAGUAGGAAACUAGGACUUAGUGAUCCGGCGGUUGUGAGUGGAAAUGCCGUCGCUCAACGGAUAAAAGCUACCCUGGGGAUAACAGGCUUAUCUCCCCCAAGAGUCCACAUCGACGGGGAGGUUUGGCACCUGAUGUCGGCUCAUCGCAUCCUGGGGCUGUAGUAGGUCCCAAGGGUUGGGCUGUUCGCCCAUUAAAGCGGUACGCGAGCUGGGUUCAGAACGUCGUGAGACAGUUCGGUCCCUAUCCAUCGCAGGCGCAGGAGAUUUGAAGGGAGCUGACCCUAGUACGAGAGGACCGGGUUGGACAUACCGCUGGUGAACCAGUUGUCGUGCCAACGGCACAGCUGGGUAGCUAUGUAUGGAACUGAUAAGCGCUGAAAGCAUCUAAGCGCGAAACGAACCCUAAGAUGAGGUCUCCCAUCCCGCAAGGAAGUAAGACUCCAGAGAGAUUAACUGGUAGAUAGGUCAGGUGUGUAAGUGGAGUGAUCCAUUGAGCUAACUGAUACUAAUAAGUCGAGGGCUUAAC